CGUGAGGAAAAUGCUGCGCAACACCAGCGCCUCCUCUUUUUAAAAGGCUAAGGUGCCGUUGGCCCUCACCUGCAUUCGCACGUUUAUUAUCUUGGCGCGAACUCAAAGGCAAGCCCCGACAACAGUAAAUGAAGAAAACCUCCAUGGAUAUUACAUCUCAAUGGAUCCUACGAUCAAUGUCCAGACGGGCUGCAGCAGGCAAGUCGAAAUCAAGCGAGCCUGCAAUUUCGCCCAAGAAGGCAGCGAGGAAGGGUCGCUGUGAACAAGCCAAGCCUUUAGUUAAACAACAGCCUUGCAAACAAGAUUGCAGGACAGGCUUGACAAGCCAAGAUACAGAGCCCAAAGCAAGUGGAUCUACAGAGACACUUCCAGUUAUUACAGCCCGAAAGGGCACCCAAAAGUAUAACGCCCAACUCAAGAAGCUGGUAGAUGCACUGGCGGCAAAGGAAGCUUGCGAUGACAUGUAUCAGUCGCAGGUGUUGAAACAAAACAUCCCUGAUGACUUUUUUGGGGAAGCGGGGCGAGAUGAGGUGUUCAAUAUCGACGUAACAAACAUGAAAACGCCUCCACUCUUUUCGCCAGCCAUUACAUCGCCGAACGCCCGAUUCUCUUUUCGAAGUUCUCCUAGUGAGCCAUCAGGAUCGCAAGAAGCAGCAGUUGCCAUCACGCAGGGCCUCCGUAAGCAAGAUCAUGCUACCACGUUGGAGUCGGAUACACCAAAGCGUAAAUUUAUAAAAAAAAAACUUGUGGCUCGAAAUUGGCAUAAACUGGAAAUAGUCUGAGAAAAAAGAGCUAAAAGAAAACUGCGAAGAUUCUAAUAAGGAAGUGGAGGACACAAAUGCUGAGAUUUGUGAAGAUGAACAAAAUUUUUUUUAAUAUAUUAAAGUUUUGCAUCAGUGUAAAUUUAACUUUUACCUUUUAUCUUUUAACUUGACUUUCUUUCUUAGCAGCAUUAGCAGAUAAAGUUGAGUGAUCUUAACAUCAAGAGUUUUUGCCCACAAAUUUUGAGGCUAUGAAAAGCCUGCUGUAAGCUUCCUGUGAAUGCAAUAAUGCUCAUUGAACAUUCGGACACAGGAAACAUUUCGAAGACAUUUUAGUUUGCUCCUAAAGAGCACCUAAAUGCACAUUCUCAUGAUCGAGACCAAUUGCUAGUGCAUCCAACCUUGACGAAGUGUCAUGCUUCUUGAUCUGGGUCUCGGGAACGGUUUGGCUUCGCACAUCAGCUUCAACCAACGGCGGCGUCAUGACAGUCCCCCAGGCUUCAAAUGCGGUCGAAAAACCGUAAAGUCCGCUUGGUCUCGCGUCUAAAGGUCCUGUCUCCCGGGUUUCGGCACCAAAAUGUAGAGAAAAGGAUGAGCCGCCGUGCCCAUGGCGAAUCCCACCCAUCGACCUUCUUUUUAUUCCAAACACAGGUAUCAUCCCCUAGUGAUGAUACGCGACUAUUUUCGUCGUUCACACAGUAUUCAACAAUAGCUAUGUAAGAAGCUCAACGAAGGCUUGCGACUGCAUACCAGAUUAGUGAAGUAGGUGAGCUUUGCACUAGAAUAGUGGCCAAGCCAGCAAAGCAUCGGUUGCUACAUCACUCACCAGAUUUUAGUCAACUACAGGCAAUGUGAUUUGCAUCUUAGCACGAUCCUGUAAAUACGCUCGGCAUGCCCAAUUGCUGAAGGCAUCCCAACCAUUCACAGGUAUGGUCGAUCACUUAUGGCAACCAUCCCUAUUUACUAUUGUUGGCUAGACUUCUGCCAGCGCAAAGUUGAAGACCGAGUGAGCUUUCAUGAGUUGCCUCAAGACGAGGAACAAAGCAGUUGCUGUAGAGCCUUUGUUUGGGCUAUCAGGUGGUGCCACUGAACACAGGGGAGUCUAGCUUUUGUGCUCUUUGCACUUCUGCGUCGACACUUAUCCGAGCAUUCGGCCAGGUUCGGCAUUCCCAAGAGGUGUGUGUAGAUGUUGGUGCUAUGCCAAGAAUGCAUCCUGCUACUGCACAGAGCCUGCUGAGGUUCGAAAGCAGAGCAACUGCACCAAAGUAUCAGUGCCUGGCUGACUUUGGCAGAGAUGUCGUUCAUCUCUGCGAGGAAACAAUCAUGGAAGAUACAUAUUUGGGCACAGUGAAAACGCAGACAGGCUACAAGUCUGAACUGCCGACGGAAAGCAGCAGUGAGCUAUGAAGCACUCGAAACCAAGGAAAGGAAGCCCUGUGGCUUGUCCAGUCAAAGAGUCCGCAACGUAUGCUCGUGCCAUUCCACCAGCAAACCGGCCAUCUGCUCGGACGCUGGUCCGAGGUUCGACGUCGUGGCUUCUACUCGGCAUCAGUCCUCUCCCCCAACCACCUUCGGCCAAUCGCCACCGCAGCCAAGCUCCCAGAGGGAACACCUUUACUACCACAAUCGACGAAAUUGCCAGGAUGCCUAGCCGCAACUCUUCGAUCACGGUGGAGGUCGUCGAGGCCACCGUCGCCGAGCGUGCGUAUCGUGAGCGAGUCGUCGAGGCCUCCGUCGUCGAGUGUGUGCAUCGUCGCCAAGUGUGUGCUGCGCCAGUCGCCCGAUGACGUGUGCAUAGUGACGGAGGAGAGGCCGCCGUCACCCGGCGUAUGCACUGUCACCAAGACACGCAGGUGUACGUCUUCCGCCCGGGUGGAGUUCAUCGAUACACCCAAGAGCUCAUCAUCCUCGAGUGCCAUCAUCCAGGAGCACAUGAUGCAGGCCUGCUUCCCGCCUGUUGCACUUGCUGGCUAGGGAAACCUGCGGGUGGUCGCGCAGUUGUGGGCACAUACCUCGCCUGCACAGUGCGAGAAGACUCGCGCAUAUAAAGGAGGCCUUCAAAUUUCCUUAAACUGAAAAAUAAAAUUGUGGUGCAAUUGU